GCAAAGGUUCACAGCAGCAAUGCCCGCUGCAGCGGGAAACAAUUGUUGCCGUUUGUAAGGGCCCUGGCUGUGCCAGAUAUGCCUCGGUUUAUUGAGAUGCUCUCUAAAUAAACAAGCCUCAGAUUCCACUGGGUCUUCAUACUACCAAUUGCUCCAGGUUUUAAUGUUGCAACUAUAGGAAAGAUGGAAGUGAUGAUGUCGUGAGCUCACACCAGGCUGCUUGCUGGAACUUCCGUGAAUGCUCCAGCACGCUGCCCACGGUACUCUGGGACAUCUCGCUUGGCUUCACUUUUUUAUCUGUGUUGUCUCCGGCCUCUGUACCUUCAUGACAGGUCUGCCCGGUGGGGCCCAGCUGAUGCCCCCCACUGCCUCCCACCUGCAGCCUGGUGGCCAGGACAUCCACCUCUCCCAUCCCUGCAGCUUGGCUGAGAUGAUGAGCUGAUGUAAGCACGUGGUGCUGAGCCUUGGGGCUAGCUGGAGGACCACACAGAGCGUAAGAGAUGCCUGCACUAAAAGGGCUUGGCUGCCCUCACAAUUGCUGUACUGCCCGCAGCAGGCUUCCCUCCAUGGACACAGGCGCCACCACCCACACCCCACCAGGAAGAAUCCCCAGGUAGCUCCACACCUUGGAAUGAAGGCCAAGCAAGCUGCAGAGAGGAAAGCCUUACUUUCCCCAGUCUCAGUCCACUUCUUUUUGUACUCUGGGAUUAAACUCUUUUCAGGAUGACUAACAGUGGAAGCAUCUAUUUGUUCAGAAGGAAACAGCCACUCCGACCCACAGGUUCUGGUCUCUGCCGGCCGGUGCCAGUCAAUAGAGUAACUGAUGAUGAAUUUCACAAAGCCCAGUCCAUUCCGUCUCAGAUGCCAAUAAGAAUCCGUCCAGGCCAGGUGCAGUGGCUCGCGCCUGUCAUCCCAGCACUUUGGUAGGCCAAGGCGGGAGGAUCAUUGGAGCCAGUAAUUCGAGACCCGCCUGGGCAACGUAGGAAGACCCUGUUUCUACAAAAAGAAAAAGGAAUCCGUCCAGGAGGACAAACGCUGUCAGCUCCAAUUCUAGGAGGUACAUGGAGUAGUCACAUUCAUAGAGACAAGACAUAGAUUGGUGGUUGUCAGGGCCUGGCGGGAAGGGGAGGGGGAAUUAGGGUUUAGCAGGUACAGAGGAAGCUUCAGUUGGUUGGAUGAAAAAGUUUUGGAGCUAGGGCACGGUGAUGGCUGUACAAAAAUGUGAGUGUGUAUCAGGCCACAGAACUGCACACUUAAAAAUGAAUACAAUGGGGACUUUUAUCUUAUGCACAUUUUAUCACAAUUUUAGCAAAUCAGUCCAGGUUGCACCAUGCUGCAUCUGGACUGUUCUUGUCACCAUCUCUCUCCAGUGUGAGGCGAGAUAGAGGCCAGAUCUGGGGGCAGAGUCCAGCAUUGGCUGCAGGCCUCCUGUGAGCAAGCUUAGACCAAAAGGCACACAAACAUUUCCCAAGAGCAACAACAGUUUCCUGCUCAGGCCAAGUCUGCAUGUGGGGAGAAGAACAAAAUAUUUCUCCGAACUCUGCAGGGUGCAGUUCAGCGGGCACUCUCAAAUGCACUCAGGGCGUGCAGGGGGCCCCAGGAGAAUAAUGAACAUGCCUCGAGUUCAUGGCUCCCAAAGACCCCGCCUGGUUCAUUUUCUCAAAACAAAAGAAGCCUUUCUAGGGCAUUAAGAGCUUCGACCUCCAGUGCAGAAACUGCUGGCGACUUUGAAAUGGCAGCCCUCCAGCCACAAAGAAAAUCUCCAGGCUCUGCAUGCCGCGCUUACACACAGACAUUGCGGCACUCUCAAAAUCUGCACAGAUUUGCAAGAUGGAACUUGCCUUCAAAGAAAUGUUGUCUCCCUUCUGGCUAGACAUCCCUGCCCUUUGGGGUUCUUUGCUCUCUCGCCUUCAGCCUUCAGGAGCAGUUGAGUGGAAAGUUUGGGAAGUCUGAGCCGGGGUCAACUCUCUCUGGAGUUGCCUGCCUUGGGAAAGGCCCAGGUUGAAGUCUUCCUUGCUAGAGGCCCCGCCCAGACACCUGAGUAGCCCACCCUGUUGAACAGCUUAGCAUUCUCCACUUGUAAGGACUUUGACUACAAUGAGCCUGAAGGGAGCUGAAAUGCAAGAAAAGAAAAAGAACAGCUUCAUGUGCCACAGUGAAAUCCCACCAAGAGAAUUCUCUGAGAUGGUUCACAAGCCCUCAACAGACCCUCCUGGGCACGCCAGACCCCCUGUCAGAUCUCAGCAGCCCCAGUGGAGCUCUGGGGUUCACACAGUCACCAAGAAAAGGGAGUCCAGCAAGUCACUGCGGGUGACCCUAAGGUGGGCAUGCAUAGGCACUGAGCCUCUGUUAGGAGAGGAUUCUCUAAAGCAAGAAAAAAAUAUUCGAACAACGAUCAAAUCUGGGCCCAAGUCCACGGAUUGUGUUGACUACUCUGAAAGAGAUUUUCCACCUCCCCAACUUUCGGAGAAGUUAAUUUAAAAGAAAACCCUACAUCUGCUGUUCUUUUUGGCUGCUCAGCAUCUCAGCUUGUCCAUUUCAGGAACCCCCUGCCCUGUGGAGGAAAAGCCUGCCUUGUAUAGUACAGGAUAAAAGUGCUGGAGAGCACCUGCCCGGACUCCCACAGUGAGCGGUGGCCCAGGCUCUGCCUGCUCCCCAGCCCUAGCCCAGGCUGUGGACUGGAAGUGGCUGAUGGGAGGUAGCAGGGGUGAGGCCGGCUCCGCCCUGAGGAUGGGUGUGGCCGCUGCAGAGGUUCUGGAAGCUCUGGGGACCGCACUGUAAACAGCUGCUGGUCCCAGCAGCAGCCACGGAGGUUCUGGGCUAUGGCUGGGUGGUGCUCCUAAGUGGCCUCAUUCUCCAGUGAUUCCAACAGGACACCCGAUACCCUUUCCAAUACAGUCCCUUUCCACUUGAAUGAACCAGAGUCUUUUUCUAUUGCUUAAAUCUAAAAUUCCCAAAUGCGGUAUGCCACUAGCACUGUAUGCCAGAGAAUCUCUCAUUUUCUUUUAUUUUAAAAAAUUUAUUUUUCAAGGGCUUUAAGGGUACCAGUGGUUUUUGGUUACAUGGAUGAAUUGUGUAGUGGUGAAGUCUGGGCUUUUAGUGCACCCGUCCCUGGAAUAGUGUACAUUGUACCAGUCCCUGGAAUGUACAUUGUACCCGUCCCUGGAUAGUGCACAUUGUACCCAUCCCUGGAAUAGUGUACACUGUACCCGUCCCUGGAAUAGUGUACACUGUACCCGACAUGUGAUUUUUCAUCCCUCCCUCCCCUGUUGCAAGUCCCCAAUGUCCAUCGUACCCACUCUGUAUGCCUUUCCGUACCCAUAGCUUAGCUCCCAUUUAUAAGUGAGAACAUGUGGUAUUUGAUUUUCUGUUCCUGAGUGACUCUAUUUUGUUUUAGGUUAAACCCUGACUUGGCAAUAAAACCUUGAACAUCCUGGGAUACUUUUGAAGUCAUAUUUAAUUCUUUGAAAGCACAGGCAGUGAAGUCCACAACUCCUGGAGCCCCGUCUUUAUGGAGGAGAGGGAGGCAGAGGAAUGGACACUAUAGGCAUUAGUAGUGAGCAAAAUAUUUCCCAAUGGUCUGAAAGAAUCAAUGGGCCCAACUAAAGGAUACCUGAAGAUCAAGGCUUGCCGGCAGGAGGAAGAGCCGGUCUCAGAAUACAGCCCAGGGCAUGUGGACUGCAGAGGGCUGCAGAGAGAGGGACAGGCCUCCUGCUUCUCCUUCUGUGUCCCUCAGCCAUCCUCCUUCAGUUUUCCCUGGACAAUAUGGUGCCAAUCACAUAAUCGGAGAGUUGGGGACCCUUGCUGGGCCCUGCAGAAACUUGUGGCAAUAAGGCAGAGGGCAGGUGCAUUGAACGUGGGUUCAGAAGCCCCGGCCUGAACCAGGGCUAUUCCCCGGCUGUGAGCUGGAAACUUUGAUGGGGCAGCCCAUGCGGUCCCUCAGGGCCAGCCUCCUCCUUUGUAAAUAAGGGCAGGAGGGAUUUAAAUCACUGAUUUAAGUCAGGGGUUCUCAAAUUCUAGUGCAAGAACUGGUGCUAGACUGUGAAAAAGUAUUCAUUUUCACAGGUUGAUGGAGAAAAGAGAAAACCACAAUAACAAAAAAAGUAAUAAUUUUGUCCUGAAGCUAAUUUAUUUCUAUUAAAAUGCUGAGAAGUUCUGUUUUGUUACAAUUCACUUUGCAUGUGAAUUCUAUCACAGUGGUGAGGUGGAUGAUAUGUAUUCUAAUUACUUCAUCUGAGUGAAUAAAAAGUUAGCAACUCAAUACAGUUCUUCCAAAUCUUUUUUUUU
rnacentral:lncRNA from 1 species